rnacentral:rRNA from 1 species
AUUGAACGCUGGCGGCAGGCUUAACACAUGCAAGUCGAGCGGGGUGAUGGUGCUUGCACUAUCACUUAGCGGCGGACGGGUGAGUAAUGCUUAGGAAUCUGCCUAUUAGUGGGGGACAACAUCUCGAAAGGGAUGCUAAUACCGCAUACGUCCUACGGGAGAAAGCAGGGGAUCACUUGUGACCUUGCGCUAAUAGAUGAGCCUAAGUCGGAUUAGCUAGUUGGUGGGGUAAAGGCCUACCAAGGUGACGAUCUGUAGCGGGUCUGAGAGGAUGAUCCGCCACACUGGGACUGAGACACGGCCCAGACUCCUACGGGAGGCAUCAGUGGGGAAUAUUGGACAAUGGGGGGAACCCUGAUCCAGCCAUACCGCGUGUGUGAAGAAGGCCUUAUGGUUGUAAAGCACUUUAAGCGAGGAGGAGGCUCUUUUGGUUAAUACCCAAGAUGAGUGGACGUUACUCGCAGAAUAAGCACCGGCUAACUCUGUGCCAGCCGCCGCAGUAA